rnacentral:rRNA from 1 species
GAGUUUGAUCCUGGCUCAGAUUGAACGCUGGCGGCAGGCCUAACACAUGCAAGUCGAGCGGUAGAGAGAAGCUUGCUUCUCUUGAGAGCGGCGGACGGGUGAGUAAUGCCUAGGAAUCUGCCUGGUAGUGGGGGAUAACGCUCGGAAACGGACGCUAAUACCGCAUACGUCCUACGGGAGAAAGCAGGGGACCUUCGGGCCUUGCGCUAUCAGAUGAGCCUAGGUCGGAUUAGCUAGUUGGUGAGGUAAUGGCUCACCAAGGCGACGAUCCGUAACUGGUCUGAGAGGAUGAUCAGUCACACUGGAACUGAGACACGGUCCAGACUCCUACGGGAGGCAGCAGUGGGGGAAUAUUGGACAAUGGGCGAAAGCCUGAUCCAGCCAUGCCGCGUGUGUGAAGAAGGUCUUCGGAUUGUAAAGCACUUUAAGUUGGGAGGAAGGGCAGUAAAUUAAUACUUUGCUGUUUUGACGUUACCGACAGAAUAAGCACCGGCUAACUCUGUGCCAGCCGCCG